AUGACAAAUGCAUGCUAAGGAGAUGCAAAAUAUAGACAUAUCACCUCUCUCUCUUUGUCGCCAAUCUCUCGAUCGGAUGAGAUGGGAUCGGUUGGAAUCGGAGGAGGAGAAUGAAUCGAUUCUCAACGCAACAUCAUAAGCGUCAAUUGGUGUUGUUGCCGCUAAGUCUCCUUGGAAAACAACCGCUUCUCCUCUUGAGACUGUUGAUGCUCCUGUAAUGGGAGCUGAUUCCUGGCCUGCGCUCGCCGACGCCGCUCAACAGUCUCGUCCUAAGAAUCCUCCGCCUCCUGCCCCGCCGUCUAAAACCAUUCCGGCCUCUAUCCCAACACCUGCUCAGAAGAAGGCAGAUGCGUCUUCCUCCGAGAUAGCUCUGAUACCAACUAGGGUUUGGCAACCAGGUGCUGAUACGCUCGAAGAUGGAGAAGAACUUCAGAGUGACCCUUCUGCUUAUAAUUCUCUUCAUGGGUUCCAUGUUGGUUGUCCCUGUUUGAUGUUUGUGCUGCAUACAUUGAUACCAUGAACAAGGUAUAUAUUUUGUGAUGAUUUCUUUGGUGAAGAGCCAUAUCUUAUGAAAUCUUUGCAGGUCCAUUUUCUGUCAUUAAUGAGCACUUCAAUCCUGUUCUUUCAAACUUUUUUUGAUGCUAUCGGCCUGAUGCUUAUGAUUCACAUAAUACACAACCACCAGAUAAUGCAAACCAAGAUAGGCUAAGCUGCUUCUAAUGGUUAUCCUGAAAAUUGAUCGGAUAUUGUUUUGUUUUGGACAACUUUGGCAUGUUUUCAUUUUUGUUUCAAGGCAGACUGCAUUUCUUUGUUUAACACAUUUUUUAUGAUGGAAACAGUUUUCAUAAUGGAAAAAUUUUAAUUUC